rnacentral:lncRNA from 1 species
CAAGUUUUCACAAGAUACCAAAAUGUCACAGAAAUUAACAACUGUAGGUCACUGUACAGCCUUCAACAAUGAACAAAGUCAUAUUGCAUAGUCAGCUAUAAAAGGCCUGGAAAUGACAAACGUAAAACAAUUCAAACGAUAAAACUCACAGCCUUGUUUAUGUACAAAACAAUGAACCAACAAAUAUAUAACACAGCAACAAAUGACAACCAC